UGCAUUUCAAGGUGUUCAGUCGUUGGAUGCGGUGUUGUCUAUAAAGUGGGGCACAUAUAACGAAAAGGAGGGCAUCAAGGCAUUCAAAAUGUCUACAGGGAUGGAUGUGCUGGAGUCAUGGCUUUGGGUCACUGAGUCUGGGAUCCUGGGAGCCUCACCGGAUGGUCACAGCAGUGGUGAAGGUCAAGUGUCCCUAUGGUGCAAGCAAGGGACCUUACUGUUUCAGUAUGAUAUGUUGGAUAAAUGAAUAAAGACAGACACCAAUGUCAAGUUCAAUAGACUUGUUCAAGCAUUGUACAAAUUCCUACACGCGGAGUCCGGGGAACAGUCCGGCUAGUCGAUUACCUAUCAACUAGACUCCGUAAAAUCAUCCUUUUCAAUAGAAAGUGCAAACAUAACGGCAUAACAUUCAUAAAUUAACAGUCAAGUCAUAACAAUUGAAAAAGCAUGACAUUUUCUUUUUACUUCAGUUAUCAUCUCUUUUUUAAUUUAAGUUUAUUUUGAUUUAUUUUUAUAAAACAGAGGACAAGUUAACACAGUCUCUUGCUUACAGAGUAAGCCUGUCCUAUGGCUUGCACAGCCAACCCUCCCAUGACUCAUCUAGGUGAGUGUAUGCUGUGUUCUGGUUUGCUACGCGCAGAUCCACCCGAUUGCGACAAUAGAGGGAGCCACCAACAUCCACCAGGUAAGAACGUGGUGCAACUCUGUAGGCACGUGCCCAGCUUCCAAAGUCCUGUGUGGUCUCCCGUCAGUGGUUUCAUCCUUAUCGUUUCACCCACCUCCAGCUCUGGUAGGUCUCGCACUGUCUGGUCGUAGAAGCACUUAGCGGGCUGCUUUCUGUGACGCAGUUGUCCUUGACGCCAACCAUGACCCAGGGCUCAAGUAGCUUGUUAGCUGCGGGGAUAGUAGUCUUCAGACAUCUGGACAGAAGGUGUUGUGCUGGGCUGCUGUUCAUGUUUUCGGUGGGUGUGUUCCUCCACUGUAAGAUCACUUUCCAUGGGUCGUUGCUGUCAUGCAAGGCCCUGCUUAACAGUUUUUUUUGCAAUCUUGACAGCUGACUCUGCCUUGCCAUUUGCUUUUGGGUGUCUUGGAGAGGAGGUCACGUGGUCAAACACCCAUUCUGAGGCGAAACUCUUGAACUGUGCAGUGAAUUGUGGGCCAUUGUCCGUGAUGACCUUGUCAGGCUGACCUUUAUGACCGUCUCUGCAGACAAGUCAGGAAGCAGUUAAAAAGGUUUUUUAAAAAUUAAAAGGUGUUCGUUCUUGUCAGUGUGUUGCCUGAUCUGGGCUAGGCGGUGAUCUGUGACGUUUAAGUAGUUUGCCUUUAUUGAUCUGUUGAACAUCUUCUUGUUCCUGCUGUAGCGAACAGAUGGCAUGCUGCUGAUAGGCAGUGCCUCUGCCUGUACAUUGUGCUGUUGCCCUGCUCAGUGUGUCGCUGAUGUACAUCUCUGGUCCUGGCUUGUAGAUGACCUUCAGGCUGUAGUUUUGCAGAGUCAGGAGCAUGCUUUGAAGCCUCUUGGGCGCGUUGAGGAGAGGUUUACUGAAUAUGGCAAUGAGUGGUCUGUGGUCAGUUUCAGCGGUGACCAGCUCUCCGGCAUAGAGGCUCACAGACUGCUGAUAGGUGUGGCAUGAACUUUGCAAGAUAGUUUGCAAAUCUGAUGAGACACUGUACUCCUUUUGCAUCAGACGGGUUUGGCAUGUCGUGGAUCGCUCUGACUUUGUCUGGGUCCGGCUUCAAGCCUUUGGCCGAGAGAAUGUGGCCAUGGAAGAGGACGUAUUUCACCUUGAACUGCAGCCUCAUCAGCCAAGAUGAAGCUUAACCGUUCAGCAGCGCUCCAUCAGUGCCAGGAGCUUCACAUCAUGGUCGCGUUCUGCUUCUUCGUCUGUGUCACCACAGCCUAUGAUCAGGACAUCAUCGGCGAUGGGUUCAAUGCCCUUGAGCCCAGCCAGUAACUCGUACUGCUUACGUUGGUAUACCUCAGGCGCCACUGAGACACCAAACGGGAGCUUGAGCCAGCGUUUCCGACCCCAGGGGGUCCAGAAGGUAGUCGUGAAGUAGCUUUCUUCGUCCAGCCAAUGGCCCAAAAAUAUUCUACAUUGUUCAUACACACACACAAUAGGCUCCCAGAAUAUAUGUUAUAUUCAGUGGCGACCCGUCAUUCAUACUGUGAGGAUUCUGUGUUAUGCACUAUAGCCCUUACCAUGUCAUAUGUGAUGAAAUAUUAUUUGCUAUUGGCUUGUGUGGUUAUAUGUGUUAUGCAACAUAACAAUGUCUCAAGUCAGCUAACAGUUUCAGGGCCAUGGGCCUUUCUCGUGAUGGAAAAAUACAGAAUAACAUGAAGACAUGAACUGUGCAAUGAGUUGUGGGGGCACAUUCAGAAUGUAGUGUUGCUAGAACAAACACUCUUUUGUUAGAUAACAGGAGCAAGGUGUGAGAUAACUGUAUUGAGUGUGUGAGUGCAUAGAUAUUCUACACAACUACAACGACUGACCGCUGAAGUGCUUAGGGGGCUGAGACCAGCUCGGGCGCGAACAAUCAACGAUAGGCUGAGUGAGUUUAAACCACGCCCAGUCUCUACUCUGACAGGCCGGCUCGGAAGCAGGAACUACUUCUGUCAAGAGUAUAUUAUAAUAUCUUUGUCAGGAACAAGUCAGUUCUCUGUUUGCCCUGCGAGGUGGGACAGAGAGCCCGUAUAUAUACAAAAAUUGCAUUUACCACUUAUUGCUUAGCUAAUAAAAAAUACAUAGCAUAAAAUCGGUGACUCAGUGUCAUACUUAUCCUGAUACCAGAUUUGAUUGAUGCAACCCUAACACUACCCACCUAUUUUAAGUCCCACACUUUCAAGUAGCUGCAGCUGUACAUAGUCUAUUGGUAAAUAGCCCACCCAUUUUCACCUACCUCAUCCCCAUACUGUUUUUAUUUAUUUACUUUUCUGCUCUUUUGCACACCAAUAUCUCUACCUGUACAUGACCAUCUGAUCAUAUAUCACUCCAGUGUUAAUCUGCAAAAUUGUAACUAUUCGUCUACCUCCUCAUGCCUUUUGCACACAUUGUACAUUGUAUAUAGACUCCCCCUUUGUUUUCUACUGUGUUAUUGACUUGUUAAUUUGUUUAUUCCAUGUGUAACUCUGUGUUGUCUGCUCACACUGCUAUGCUUUAUCUUGGCCAGGUCGCAGUUGUAAAUGAGAACUUGUUCUCAACUAGCCUACCUGGUUAAAUAAAGGUGAAAUAAAAUAAAAUAAAAAAAAGUAUUUCAAAACAAUAUUGCCUGUUUUGCUUGUUAUUUUGGCAUUAAUAUGUGUCAUUGAGUUAAUAAAGCC
ensembl:lncRNA